GAUGAACGCUGGCGGCGUGCCUAAUACAUGCAAGUCGAGCGAACAGACGAGGAGCUUGCUCCUCUGACGUUAGCGGCGGACGGGUGAGUAACACGUGUAUAACCUACCUAUAAGACUGGGAUAACUUCGGGAAACCGGAGCUAAUACCGGAUAAUAUAUUGAACCGCAUGGUUCAAUAGUGAAAGACGGUUUUGCUGUCACUUAUAGAUGGAUCCGCGCCGCAUUAGCUAGUUGGUAAGGUAACGGCUUACCAAGGCGACGAUGCGUAGCCGACCUGAGAGAGUGAUCGGCCACACUGGAAGUGAGACAGGGACCAGACUCCUACGGGAGGCAGCAGUAGGGAAUCUUACGCAAUGGGCGAAAGCCUGACGGAGCGACGCCGCGUGAGUGAUGAAGGUCUUCGGAUCGUAAAACUCCGUUAUUAGGGAAGAACAAAUGUGUAAGUAACUAUGCACGUCUUGACGGUACCUAAUCAGAAAGCCACGGCUAACUACGUG
rnacentral:rRNA from 1 species